rnacentral:siRNA from 1 species
AGCGGUCUGAAUGCCGUUGGACGU